rnacentral:tRNA from 1 species
GGAUGGGUGGCCGAGUGGUUUAAGGCACCGGUCUUGAAAACCGGCGUGGGUGCAAGCCUACCGUGGGUUCGAAUCCCACCCCAUCCGCCA